CUUCUAAGCCAGAAGUGGGCCCGGUGCUCCAGUUAACCCCAUUCGGAUGACCCUGGUUGUCGGAUGGUGCGUGAGUCAAAACAGGAGUGUCCAGUGUGCCAAAGAAAAAACCUUUCUUGCUAGGAGUGUCUUGUCACUUUUACCUCUUCUGCCCUCCAUUCUUUCAUGAUCUCCAGAGAAGGGGGGGGGGGAUGAAGUCCUCGUCCCCUGAUGAUGGGUGUCCGACCUAACGUCGGUAUCUCAAUCUUCCAUUGGUGUUGCUGCUGUUGCACCCGCUCUGUCGGAUGGGUUGUUAGCCAGCAUACUGGAGAGGACUUCUUCCCCCGGAGCUGUCAUGGCAGCCUUAAUCCUCGCCUGAAAAUCGGUCGGGGAUAUUGAGGUAAGUCCGACAUGUUGGUUCACACCCUUUCGGUCCGUG
rnacentral:lncRNA from 1 species